rnacentral:rRNA from 1 species
UACGUAGGGUCCAAGCGUUAUCCGGAAUUACUGGGCGUAAAGCGCGUGUAGGCGGCGCGUUAAGUGCAACGCGAAAUCUUGCGGCUCAACCGUAUAGACUGUGUUGCAUACUGGCGUGCUCGAGGACAUGAGAGGCAAGUGGAAUUUGUAGUGUAGCAGUGAAAUGCGUAGAUAUUACAAGGAACACCAAUGGCGAAAGCAGCUUGCUGGCAUGUAUCUGACGCUGAGACACGAAAGCGUGGGGAGCGAACAGG